rnacentral:misc_RNA from 1 species
UGGAUUUGCCUCACACAACGCUAAUAAAAGCGCUCACUAGCAGACCUACACACAAACACGCGCGCGCGUACAUCGACGCUUUCCCUCUGCCCACGCACACAAAAUGGGUCUCACUCAGGAUCAGACGCAGCGCGUCAAGACGGCCUUUCUUAGCUACGCGCAAGGGCAGCCUAAGGUAAGCGAGGCCAUGAUGGACCAGCUCAUCUGUGGCGCCAUCCCUGGGCUGUCCUGGGAGCAGCUGCAGGCGAAAAAAGCGGUGCGAAAGGUAAGCGCAGACGGCUACGACCUUGUAGCCUUCUUUGCCAUUGUGAACUCCGACCCGGCGUACAUUGCCUUCAUUCAGCAGCACUUCCCCCCGGCGCCGCCGGAGCAGAAGGAGCCGGAAGUGGACGCACUGGCGCUGAAGACCGCUAAGGGCUUCUAAGCAUACAGAGAGGCACGCACACACACACACACACACACACACAUGCACCUGGAGACCUUUGCAUGACCCUGCAGGAAAGGAGGGUGGUAUCAAACGCGGUUGUGGUCGAAGGCGUGCGCACGUCUGUGGGGUCAGCCACGUCUGUUUCGUUUUAUAUGUUCAGCUAACGCUCUCCGACAUCUAUGUGAGACCCCUCUACGCUUAUUCAGUGCCUCGCCCCUUCUUCUGUCGACGCAAAUGUGCACGCGGAGUCGGGGAUUAGAGGUGCCCCGCUUCUGUAGGUCGUGCUGGUCCGCGCGUUUAUGUCCCACUGAGGGGGAGGGGGAGCUGUCAGGACAUUCGUCAGGCUCUCCCUCCCUCCCCCGCCUUUCUCCUUUCCUUUCAUCAUUGUAUCAGUGAAGCUGCUCGUAUGAAGGCGCCUGCGUGCGUGCGUGCGUGCGUGCGUGACGUUGCUGAUGCCUUUACUGUUUUGUUUGUUUGUUUUUUGUUUGUAUUUGCGUAUCCCAUCGUCCUGUCGACCAUCAUCUUCUUGCGUGCGGCGUUGCCGUGGAAAGGUCUAUGUAAAUAUCUUGAAGGGCGUGCACACACUCGCCGACACUCUCCCCUACCUCCGCAAUCUUGCCAGCAACCUCGACACCAACAGUCGCCGGUU